AUUAGUCGAUCACGUCUGUGCAGACACCCCGGUUGCCAGAUUUCAACAAUAGUGGCUAGCCAUCUUAACCACUGCACCAACCAAGUGCUUUAUUCUAACAGGUCCGAGACGUGGCGAGUGACAAACACCAUCACCAACAAGCUUCAGACCUUCAGUAACAGAUGCCUGCGCCAGAUUCUCAACAUCAGGUGGCCUGAGAAGAUCUCCAAACCGGCCGGUAACGUCACAAGACAAGCUCUGGACUGGAACCCACAGGGGAAUCGCAGAGUGGGGAGGCCAAAACAGACAUGGGGGAGAUCAGUCGAAGUGUGUGAGGAGACAACGCCUCAGGUGAAGACUCAAAGACCUGACUCACACAACCGCUGACUGCAGAC